rnacentral:rRNA from 1 species
UACGUAGGGACCGAGCGUUGUCCGGAAUCAUUGGGCGUAAAGGGCGCGUAGGCGGUCGUGACAAGUCACUUGUGAAAUCUCCGGGCUUAACUCGGAACGGUCAAGUGAUACUGUCGGACUAGAGUACAGAAGGGGCAACUGGAAUUCUCGGUGUAGCGGUGAAAUGCGUAGAUAUCGAGAGGAACACCUGCGGCGAAGGCGGGUUGCUGGGCUGAUACUGACGCUGAGGCGCGAAAGCCAGGGGAGCGAACGGG